rnacentral:rRNA from 1 species
CCUACGGGCGGCAGCAGUGGGGAAUAUUGCGCAAUGGGCGAAAGCCUGACGCAGCGACGCCGCGUGAGGGAUGAAGGUCUUCGGAUCGUAAACCUCUGUCAGCAGGGAAGAACGGUCACUGUGCUAAUCAGCAGUGAAUUGACGGUACCUGCAAAGGAAGCACCGGCUAACUCCGUGCCAGCCGCCGCGGUAAUACGGAGGGUGCGAGCGUUAAUCGGAAUUACUGGGCGUAAAGCGCUCGUAGGCGGUAUGUCAAGGCAAGGGUGAAAUCCCCGCGCUCAACGUGGGAACUGCCUUUGAAACGGGCAAACUGGAGUGUGUGAGAGGAUAGUGGAAUGCCAGGUGUAGGAGUGAAAUCCGUAGAUAUCUGGAGGAACAUCAGUGGCGAAGGCGACUAUCUGGCACAUAACUGACGCUGAGGAGCGAAAGCGUGGGUAGCAAACAGGAUUAGAUACCCCUGUAGUC